UCCGCCAGGGUACUACAAGCGCCAGCUUAAAACCCAAAGGACUUGGCGGUGCUUCAGACCCACCUAGAGGAGCCUGUUCUAGAACCGAUAAUCCCCGUUCAACCUCACCACCCCUAGCCUUCCCCGCCUAUAUACCGCCGUCGUCAGCUUACCCCGUGAGGGUUAAACAGUGAGCACAAUGAGUAAACCCCAAAACGUCAGGUCGAGGUGUAGCGAAUGAGGUGGGAAGAAAUGGGCUACAUUUUCUAUAAUAGAAUAUUACGAACAGCAAACUGAAAUAAAUGCUUAAAGGUGGAUUUAGCAGUAAAAG
rnacentral:rRNA from 1 species